ensembl:lncRNA
AGUUUCACUUGAUUACCCCACCAUCCAGCCCAGUGAGCUACCUCCAGACUCCCUCUCCACCCUGGUCUGGGCCCCGGGACACUGCCCUGUCCGAACGAUAUCACUCAAGGUCCAUCCCGUGGAAAUGCCGACAAGAGAUGGGAGUGCGGAAGAGAGUGGAGCAAGGCUGACUCCCAACUCUGACCCCAGCUGCUCUGGUCCUGAAAGCCUCGGCUCCUGUCCUGGCCUUCAUCUACACUGACAGCUGCUUCUAGGUCCUGGAGCAUCCUCUCCCCUUCUCGUUCAGGUCCGGGAUGGUAAAGGCUCUCCAAUGCUGUCCCAAAGUGCUUCCCUGUCCCUUGCUGAUUUUCCCUUAACCAUCCCUGAACUGCUAUAACUAGUCCACUUAUUGACUGAUUGAUUUUUCCAUUUGCGGGCACCAUCUGCUUCCUUCCAUCUGCUUUCUUCAGAGACCCUGACCAAUGGCCCAGGCUCCUCUUUGGGUUCACAGCAUUUGCCAGCAUUAGAAGCACAUCCUUCAAGACUCCCCAUUUCCAAGAAUCCUCGCCAGAUUGUCCUUAAAAUACAUGUCUGGACUUACUUUCCACACACCAUUUAGCCUGUGUCAUCCUCUCCCUCUCACUCCGGACAGCAAUCCAUCCCCAAGACUCUGCCCACCAGCCCAGGGCAGGUGCGAGCUCUCCCUAAACCCCCUCUGUGCUUCCCUCAACAGCUAGCACAAGUCGUAUGCUCUCAGAAGAAGUUUGAGAGACCAAUAAACAUUCCCUCCCUUGCUCACACCCAGAGAACAUCACUUCAGCACUUUCGUUUGAAACACCAAUGGUUUUUCAUACUGACUUUUUCUCAGUCCAUGACUCUCAAGAGGGCCUGGCCUGGGGAUGUGCCUGCCAUGGUCUCUCCCCCACGGUCCACCAGGGAAUGCAGAGCAACACAGAAGACUGAGCCUCAGGUAAGAACAUCUGUCCCAUCCCCUCAUUUUGCCAAUGGAGAAGUGGAGACCAGAUUGCUUAAGGGAUUUCUCAAAAGCCACAGGUGAGUUCAUAGGUGGAGACGGACCAGCCACACUGCCUUCAAGGAGCCCUGGCACUCGGUCUUGUAGAGAGACCCUCACAUAUCUUGGCGCUUCUUUGACAAAGGUGCCCAGAAAUGUGGUCUGGAAUUUUAUGAAACUGGAGGAAUAACAUGCUGCAGCUUCCUGGAGGGCCUGAUCUCUGCCAGGUUUCAGGGAUGAAGAGUAAAGAAAGUGCCUAGUGCCUCAGGAUUCCUCUUCUGGACUGAUCAGACUCAGCCAAUCACUGGAAAGAGGCUCCUGUUGAAAAAGCUGCAGCCCUCUUCGGCUCCCUGACUGCACCUCUCCCCACCAUGCUGGGAGGUCAAGACGGAUGAGGGCGGGCGCCUCUCUGGAGCCAGGUCUAAUCAGAGAUACAGCUUCCAGAUGAAUCACCUUUGCAAGGCCUCCUUGCCAUGCCCCUUUGAAUUAAAAGAGCUCCCUCUACUAACAUAUUAAUUAAAAUGAAAUAUUAAUAAGCUGACCUCUAUUAUUUAUCAGCUGUUUGGGGAGAAAAGAAAAAUAUUGAGAUCCAAAGAGAAAUCAAUUUCCCCAAAACCGCCCUUCCCUGAGCAGACUGAUUCGUGUCACAUAAUAAAGAGAUAAGCUUAUCGGCUGCAUCAGUUCAAAGACGUGUGCUGUAAAUGUUGAUUUUGAACCAAUAAGAAGAUUAUAAGCACUGUCAUAAAAUAUCUUUCCGGGAUGUAAAUUAUUCAAAGCCCUCCGUGGGCAGACACAGUGUCUCAUGCCUCAGUGAUCCCCGUUCUCUGCAAUACAUUUCACUUAUUAAAGUCAGAGAGGGCCUCUGUUGAUAAAGCCCCCUAAAUAAAUGAUAACCUUCAUCUCCGUCUUCUAAAUUAUUUCCACGACUAGAAUUCGGAAUGUUUGUGCCAGAGGUGCCACAAAGUACGGCCUUCUUGAGUGGGGUAUGUCUUCAUUGGGAAGCUCGGUUCAGGUAAGGGCUGAACCCCUAGAUUCUUGGAGCUGGGCAGUGGCUACAGUAAUGCAUACAACCCUGGGGGCUCAUCUUCACAAGGAGGGAAGGGGUGAUGCAAGAUGCAAGGGACAAUAUGAUGAAAAGGCCUGGACCCCUAACCUGCCUCGCUAGUCAGGCUGAGUUGUUAUCCAACCUGAGUGAGUUGGACAACCAACUCCAAAAGUGAGUCUCUUGUUACAGGGAGGUGGGUAUAAUACGUGUGCCCACCAGGCACAGGGU